GCCGGGCGCGGUGGCUCACGCCUGUAAUCCCAGCAUGUUGGGAGGCCGAGGUGAGUGGAUCACCUGAGGUCAGGAGUUUGAGACCACCCUGGCCAACAUGGUGAAACCUCAUCUCUA
rnacentral:SRP_RNA from 2 species